ensembl:lncRNA
UUGUGAUUAUUGGAGGUGCAUUUGUCGUGGUAAUGAGUGUUGCCUGGCUUAGAGCUGGAACUGUAUUUGUGAAAGCAACAGUUGUGCUUGAUAGAGGUGCAGUUGUUAUUGGGAAUGCAGUUGUUGUUGCCACUGAAGGAGUGUUCUUGCUUGAUGUUGUUGGAUCAUUAGUUGUUUUAGAUGUGGUUGAUGAAGCUGUAGUUGCAGUCUCUGCUGUUGUACUUUCUGAAGUUGUAGGCAGUGUUGUUGAAGUAGUAGCUGUGGUCUCUGUACUCACAAGUGUGGUUGUUGGAAUUUCGCUAGUUGACAAUCCUUUAGUUGCUGAUGUUGUUACAGGUGCAGUUGUUUCUGAAGAUGUAGGUAUUGUUGUUGAAGUAAGAGUUGUGGAUUCUGAAGUUACAGCUGUUGAUGUUGCUGGAUUGUUUGUUUUUGUAGAUGUGGUUGAUGAAUCUUUAGUUGUGGUCUCUGCUGUUGUACUUUUUGAAGUUGUAGGAAUUGUUGUUGAAGUAAGUGUUAGGGAUUCUGAAGUUACUACUGUUGAUGUUGUUGGAUUGUUUGUUAUUGUAGAUGUGGUUGAUGAAGCUGUAGUGGUGGUUUCCACUGUUGUAAUUUCUAAAGUUGUAGGCAAUGUUGUUGAAGUAAUAGGUGUGGUCUCUGUACUUACAACUGUGGUUGUGGGAAUUUCUGUAGAUGAGGAAGCUUUAGUUACUGAUGUUGUUACAGGUGCAGUUGUAUCUGAAGAUGUAAGCAUAGUUGUUGAAGUAAGAGUUGUGGAUUCUGAAGUUACUGCUGCUGAUGUUGUUGGAUCAUUUGUUGUUGUAGAUGUGGUUGAUGAAGCUUUAGUUGUAGGCAGUGUUGUUGAAGUAAUGGGUGUGGUUUUGUUCCUCACAACUGUGGUGGUGGGGAUUUCAGUAGAUGAGGAAGCUGUAGUUACUGAUGUUGUCACAGGUGCAGUUGUUUCUGAAGAUGUAGGCAUAGUUGUUGAAGUAAGAGUUGUGGGUUCAGAAGUUACAGCUGUUGAUGUUGUUGGAUCGUUUUUUGUUGUAGAUGUGGUUGAUGAAGCUGCAGUUGUGGUCUCUGCUGUUGUUCUUUCUGAAGUUGUAGGCAGUGUUGUUGAAGUAAUAGUUGUGGUUUCAGUCCUCACAACUGUGGUGGUGGGAAUUUCAGUAGUUGAGGAUGCUGUAGUUACUGAUUUUGUUACAGGUGCGGUUGUUUCUGAAGAUGUAGGCAUUGUUGAUGUAAGAGUUGUGGAUUCUGAAGUUACAGCUGCUGAUGUCGUUGGAUCAUUUGUUGUUGUAGAUGUGGUUGAUGAAGCUGUAGUUGCGGUCUCUGCUGUUGUACUUUCUGAAGUUGUAGGCAGUGUUGUUGAAGUAAUGCGUGUGGUUUCGGUCCUCACAACUGUGUUGGUGGGAAUUUCAGUAGUUGAGGAUGCUGUAAUUACUGAUGUUGUUACAGGUGCAGUUGUUUCUGAAGAUGUAGGCAUUGUUGAAGUAAGAGUUGUCGAUUCUGAAGUUACUGCUGUUGAUGUUGUUGGAUCAUUUGUUGUCGUAGAUGUAGGUGACAAAGCUGUAGUUGUAGGCAGUGUUGUUGAAGUAGUAGUUGUGGUCUCUGUACUCACAACUGUGGUUGUUGGAAUUUCACUAAUUGACAAUCCUUUAGUUGUUGAUAUUGUUACAGGUACAGUUGUUUCUGAAGAUGUAGGUAUUGUUGUUGAAGUUAGAGUUGUGGAUUCUGAAGUUACAGCUGUUGAUGUUGUUGGAUCGUUUGUUGUUGUAGAUGUGGUUGAUGAAGCUAUAGUUGUGGUCUCUGCUGUUGUACUUUUUGAAGUUGUAGGCAGUGUUGUUGAAGUAAUGGCUGUUGUUUCGGUCUUCACAACUGUGGUGGUGGAAAUUUCAGUAGUUGAGGAUGCUGUAGUUGUUGAUGUUGUUACAGGUGCAGUUGUUUCUGAUGAUGUAGGCAUAGUUGUUGAAGUAAGAGUUGUGGAUUCUGAUGUUACAGCUGUUGAUGUUUUUGGAUCGUUUGUUGUAGAUGUAGUUAAUGAAGCUGUAGUUGUGGUUUCCACUGUUUUAACUGUAGCAGUGGAAUGUUCAGUUGUGGCUGUGGAUGCAGUAUUUGUUGUUUCAGCUGCUUUUGUCUUUUCUGAAGACGUAGUCAUGGUUGUUGAAGCAAGUCUUUCUUUAGUUAUAACCAUUGUUGCACCUGAAGAAUCUGAUGAGGUUGGAGCUGGUUUUGCUGAGGUUGAAAUGGCAAGUAUAGUUGUUCUUUCUGAAGCCGUAUAUCCUGAAGUUGAAGACUCCAUUUUUGAAGCACUGGAUUUUAAAAAGAAAAAUAUAAUAAAUUAUAUACCUUUUAAAUUAUUAUUAACUUAAAAAAAAAAAAACAUGUUUGUAUUAGAUUAAAAAAGUAAUGACUAGUGGUGGGCCGUUAUCGGCGUUAACAUGCUGCAUUAACGUGAGACUCUUAUCGGGCGAUAAAAAAAUAUCGCCGUUAAUCUAUACUCAAAGUUGGGUUGGGAGCUGGGUCUACUACACAAGCUAUGAUGAUUUCACCUUGAUGUUUUAGCGCGGAUGUAUAGGCUACCUAGCCGAAGUGCACUGUAGGGGGCGAGAACGAGUCUUCGAACCUGUGUGUAUGCCUACUGUAAAAUUAAUUACCACAUCAAACGUGACGUGCUAAUAUUGAUGCAGCUAUGAACCCGCCGGGUUUGUUUCAGGGGAAAAAAAAAAUAUUUUAAGAAGCUUCCCAAUGGAAACGUCGACAAGACUCACGCCUGGUUCACACUCUGUCUGCAGUGCGUAUGCAGUCCGUGUGUGUGGUGCAAAAGCAGCAUGGACUCAUUGUGCUUUCACACAGGAAGCGUUUGAACUCCGCUACUGAUCCGCGGCUGUUUAGUCCACAAACACAACAUUUGUUCAUUAUUUUAUAUUUCAAAUCAUGUAAAAAUAAAAAUAUUGUGACCCUUUUAUCA